GGAGGGCUUUGAUUCCUCAAUCAUAGGUUCAAUUCCUAU
rnacentral:tRNA from 1 species